UACGAAGGGGGCGAGCGUUGUUCGGAAUUACUGGGCGUAAAGGGCGCGUAGGCGGCCGGUCAAGUUAGAUGUGAAAGUCCUGGGCUUAACCUGGGGACUGCAUUUGAUACUGAUUGGCUUGAACUCGGGAGAGGAUAGCGGAAUUCCCAGUGUAGAGGUGAAAUUCGUAGAUAUUGGGAAGAACACCGGUGGCGAAGGCGGCUAUCUGGACCGACAUUGACGCUGAGGCGCGAAAGCGUGGGGAGCAAACAGG
rnacentral:rRNA from 1 species